CCUAAACCUGCUAAGGCUCCGGCCACGGCCUCAAGAGAUGUGAUAAUCACUCUUCGUAAACGUAAAGACAAAGCAACUAUUCUCGCAGCCCUGCGGGGAAGAACCCCCCUCUGCUUUGAGACCAUGAACCUGAUAUUCUACCCGGACCUAUCCGGAGGCACCCUGGCCUGGCGUAGGUCACGCAAGCCGAUCACCUCUGUGCUCCAAUCCCACAACAUCGAGUACCGCUGGCGCUCCCCAAGGG